rnacentral:misc_RNA from 1 species
AAGUCGUAACAAGGUUUCCGUAGGUGAACCUGCGGAAGGAUCAUUAUUGAAUGUUUGAAGCGGUUGAGCUGGUCUUUAACGGACAUGUGCUUGCUGCUUCUAUUCAUCCCAUCCACCUGUGCACUUAUUGUAGAGCUUUGAAGAAUGUCCUCGUUAGCUCGAGGAUUAGUAUUCGAGUUCUAUGUUAUAUACAAACUCUAUGAAUGUCUAGAAUGUCUUUUACUGGGACUUAGUUGGCCCUUUAAACUUUAUACAACUUUCAGCAACGGAUCUCUUGGCUCUC